GAGCGAACGCUGCGGCAGGCGUUAACACAUGCAAGUCGAACGGGCGUAGCAAUACGUCAGCGGCAGACGGGUGAGUAACGCNUGGGAACGUACCUUUUGGUUCGGAACAACACAGGGAAACUUGUGCUAAUACCGGAUAAGCCCUUACGGGGAAAGAUUUAUCGCCGAAAGAUCGGCCCGCGUCUGAUUAGCUAGUUGGUGAGGUAACGGCUCACCAAGGCGACGAUCAGUAGCUGGUCUGAGAGGAUGAUCAGCCACAUUGGGACUGAGACACGGCCCAAACUCCUACGGGAGGCAGCAGUGGGGAAUAUUGGACAAUGGGCGCAAGCCUGAUCCAGCCAUGCCNNNNGAGUGAUGAAAGCCCUAGGGUUGUAAAGCUCNNUUGUGCGGAAGAUAAUGACGGUA
rnacentral:rRNA from 1 species